CCUUCGUUCUGCUCCUUAGCACCAGAGCGCUGCGAGGGGGAACGCGCACUCCUCCCCGGCCGUCAGACAGAACUGGAGUGCAGUGCACUGAAGCCCCACUAUCUGCAAGGAAUGCAGAAACCUGAAAAGAACAUGCAGCAUGCAAGAGCCUGGCAGAAGAGCUGUCCUGAAUUGUGGUGGUAGUAACCCCACUGUCACCACCUGAAGUACUGUAGGAGCAUCUCUACUUGUAGGUAAUCUUCCCACACUGGCACACAGAGUCCCAUUAGGAAAUCACACUGGGAAAUGUCUUACCAUCUUUUCUCUGGAAGUCAACAUUAUUGCUGUAGCACGUGGAAAAGUCACUGCUUGUGUCAGUGAUAAUACCUCGCUAGGCCAAGCAGGAGGCACCCAACAAGCAGUCCAGCUGACAUAGGCGAGGGGCAGCCUGUGUCACCUGCUACCGACUCCAUGGGACAUCUUUGGCAGUGAAGAUGUUCCUGUCCACUGUGCCUGGGAUGGAGCCUACCAACAACUGCUGGCCAUAGAGAUGGUGAGAUGGUAGUGUUUGUACUGUAGGUUCAGCACAUCUGUGGCACAUCACUGGAAUGCAAAGCAUCUAGGGCAGAUGUAGAGGCUGGAUAAGGCUCCUUGCCAUCCUUGAAAACACUGUGAAGUGCCAGGCUGGGAUUCCCCUGGCAGUGGGGGAUUCCUUGCCUGGCACUCAUCUAAUCUCAAAUAGGAGGCACUGAGACAUCAGGAGCAGCCCAGCAUCAGGUCCCAGGAGAUGGCCUGUGGUGUGAUGCUGGCCUGUCCAUGCAGCCCUACCAGAGACAUUCCUGACCCCUGCCAGCCCCAACUUGAGAGAUAUUCACUGUCCUCAAAGAACACAGCAAGGGACAGCUGAAGGAGGAAGGAGUGGGCACAAGCUGGCAUUGGGGCGCACACUGUUUCUGUGCUACCUGCAUUUCAGAUGUGUUCACAUCAUGUAACAGGAUCUCAAGCCACCAUUAACUCUUCCUUUACUUGUUGUGUACACACAAGUGACAGUAUGUUUAUAUGAGACAUAAGGACAGUGCACACUGCUGCUGCUUGUCACCUAGGCUAAACACUCAGAUACACAUGUGCUGACAAUCACUGUUGUUACAGUCACUGAUAGGAAAAGCCUUUAAUGAUACACAACUUAGUACAGUUACACAGCCACGGCAGACAGGCAUGAAGCACAUUUGGCUGCCUUAAUUAACCUUAAGAAUUAUGAAGCCGCGCCUGUAACUGAAAUAUAGUUUUGCCUUUUAUAAACUAUUUGACAUGAGAAUUAUGAGGCCAAGAAUUAGAUGUAGGAACACAUCUAAAUAUUUAUGCUAUGUUCAUUACUCUGGUAUCUGAGUGCAUGUUUACAUUGUAACCUCCACUCCAACAUCCAUUAUUUCACUUGGCCAUAAAACCCCGUGUUACCCAUCACACUGUGCCACUGCUCUCCCUGCCAGAAUAGGGAAACACAAUCAUAGAAACAUAGAAUCAUAGAAACACAGAAUCAUUAACACUGGAAAAGACCUCCAGGAUCAUCUAUCUAGUCCAACCAUCAGCUCAUCCCAAUCAUGCCCGCUAACCACGUCCCUCAGUGCCACAACUACCCUUUUCCUGAACAUCUCCAGGAACAGUGACUCUACCACCUCCCUGGGCAGCCUGUUGCAACGCCUCACCACAUUUUUGGAGAAGAAUUUUUUUCCUGAUAUCCAGCUUGAACCUCCCCUACGUUCAGAUCAAGAUCAUCUUAAGUCUUUUCCAACUUAUGAUUCUGUGUUUCUAUGAUGAAUGUCACUGGGUACCAUUUUUCCACAUGAAGGAAUUCAGUCACACUCCAUUGUUUCAUAUAAUGUCAGAAGCCGUUCUCUCAGACUGUCCCUCUGCUGCCAUCUGUCACACAGCAACAACAGGUAACAGGACAUUGAUGGGAAGGUUCAACCUCUACCACCGUACCACCAACAUCCGCCUCUGAUGUCAUGUGCCAACAUAAUAAAACAGGAGGCAUUACUUUGGGAACAGCCCUCCUAAUUCUCACAUGCUCAAUAUAAAACUUGCUGCAACUUCUUGCUUUGAAACCAGGAUACUGGAUUCAGCAGGUUUCUGCCCUAGACCAGAUGGCAGCACAUUGGUUACACAGCCCCUGUGGGCUGCACCUGCUCACUUCAUAUUGCAAAGUCCUCUGACAAGGAGCUCCAGCCCCAGUACUUCAUCAUGGCAACAAAGCAGGGCAGCAGUCAUCAAAACACUGAAAGAAACUGAGUUUAAGUGUACUAAAUGUUUCACCAUUAACAAAGCCAACAUGAUGUAUUUUUUUGGCUGAGGAUUGGGGGAGGGAGAGAACUCUCAGCAAUGGCACUUAGAUGCAAAGCUGUGAAAGUGGCUUUGAGUAACACUG